rnacentral:rRNA from 1 species
UGAGGAAUAUUGGUCAAUGGGCGAUAGCCUGAACCAGCCAAGUAGCGUGAAGGAUGAAGGCUCUAUGGGUCGUAAACUUCUUUUAUAUAAGAAUAAAGUGCAGUAUGUAUACUGUUUUGUAUGUAUUAUAUGAAUAAGGAUCGGCUAACUCCGUGCCAGCAGCCGCGGUAAUACGGAGGAUCCGAGCGUUAUCCGGAUUUAUUGGGUUUAAAGGGAGCGUAGGUGGACUGGUAAGUCAGUUGUGAAAGUUUGCGGCUCAACCGUAAAAUUGCAGUUGAUACUGUCAGUCUUGAGUACAGUAGAGGUGGGCGGAAUUCGUGGUGUAGCGGUGAAAUGCUUAGAUAUCACGAAGAACUCCGAUUGCGAAGGCAGCUCACUGGACUGCAACUGACACUGAUGCUCGAAAGGGUGGGUAUCAAACAGG